GCUGAAUAUUAAUGAAAUGAUGUGCCCCCCCCUUUUUUUUCAGUGAAUGUGGUUACUUCUCUCUGGAUUUUCACACUUUCUGUCCUUCAGUCUAACCCUAGUAUUGAAAUACCAGACAUAUGGGCCCUCCGCGUGUGGGGUGGGGCUUGUCUAUGGAGAAGGAGGCAGAGGUGGUCUGUCUUCUCCACUGGGGGGGUGGUUCUCCCCCAACAGGUCUUGAACUGUGCGUGGAGCUGUGUUGCAGGCAGGUUGAUUUCAUAUGUGACCCAGCUACAUCGCCAUGUGUCACACCGAGUGGGAAGAGGGCAGGAUUGUGCUUGGGGAUCAAGUGGACAGCGUUCCACCUGGGUGGAAAAGCGGAAGGUGCAGGUGCUCAGUAAGGCCGGGUUUGCAGUGGGGGGGGGCAUGAAAUGCGCAUGUGUGAGGGGAACAGUUACACCAGAAGAGGGGGUGUAUUGAAGAGGCAGGGCAGUAAAUAGUAUGUGAAGUAUGUGUGCACAUGCAGGUGUGUGUGUGUGUGUGUGUGUGUGUAAGAGACAGAAAUACAAGAGAGAGAAUGAAUUCCUGUGAUCACCAGACAUAACUAGCUUAUGACUGCAAAGCAAUAUUUAUUCCUGGGCUCAAUACUUCUCCAGAAAUGUCCCAUGACUUUACUCUGAAAUGGGUACAGCCAUAAGAAAAUGUGCUAAGUAAGACCAGGCCAUCUGGGGAGCACAGGUGGCUGCAGCAAACCCGACAGGUAAAGGAGGCAGGGCUGCCUGCGCCCUGGAUGAUCUCUCCUGGGAUUUCUUCCCAGACUUUGGUGAACCUGGCUCAGAAGGCCCCAGUGGAGAGGGUGGCAAAUGGGUGAGCCUGGGGAAGAGAUAUGUUACUUUAACAGUUUGUUUAUUAUGAUUUGCAGAGAGCGAGUGUGUCCUACAUUUUUGUUUCUGGGAGCAUAAACACGUCCCUUUUUAAAAGUCACCAGGAAAGGAUUGGCAUCCCCUACCCUGCCUUUAUCCUGGAGACUCAAGUACAGACCUGCUGACCACUUGGUUGCAGUCAAGGCCAUUCACUCCUAGAGCUAGGGCUAAAACCAUGCAUGAUUACUGAAAGUAAUUUUGUGGAAAGGCAUUUUUGGUUUUCUUUUCAUAUGUAUAUGUUCAUAUUUAGUUCACUAUUACUUUGAAAAAAGAUGAAUUAGUCCCUCAGGCCUGGACUUUGUUUGAUGUUUUUAUUUAUACUUUCUUUUUAGCCAGUUCCAUCUUACUGAGGGCCCUACCCUUAUUUCAUGUGGUGUUUUCCUUCCUGUAACCUGAAGGACCUAACGUUAGUUAAGUAAAUAAAAACAAGGCUAGUUUUUUCAGAUAAUAAACCGAAAGCAGUGUUUUAAUUAUAGGUGUAUGUGGUGACUUGUAUAGUAUCCCCACCCCUGUACCCUCCAUUCACGUCCAUCCAGAACCUGUCAGUGUGACCUCAUUUCAAACAGGGUCUUUACAGAUAGAAUUAGCUAGGAUGAGAUCAUACUGGAUUAGGCUGGGCCCUGAAUCUGACAACUAGAGUCUUUAUAGGGAAAAGAGAGAUUCAGACACAGAGACGCUGAAACACCCACACCGGAAAGGCCAUGUGAAGAUGGAGGCAGAGAUUGGGGUGAUGUGGCUACAAGCCAAGGAAUGCCAAUGAUUGCCACCCCACCAGAAGCUGAGAGAGGGGCAUGGAGCAGAUUUUCCCUUAGAGGUUCCAGAAGAAACCAGCACUGCUAACACCUUGAUUUCAGACCUCCAACCUCCAGAAAUGUGAGAGAAUACAGUACUUUUGUUUUAAGCCACCAGUUGUGGUAACUGGUUACCACAGCCCUAGGAAGCCAAUACAGCACGAGUUCUGAGCUUUCACUCCACAGCAGCUCUGUCAGCACAGCAGCCUGAGAGACCCUGGUCAAAUACAAAGCAGUCGGGCUACUGCUCUGCUUAGGGGAGACAGGGUGAAGUCCGUGAGAUGAUCGACAAACUCUCACCUCAUUUCAUCUCUUCCUUGACACACUGCCCUUCUUGGUAUUUUCCAACAUGCCUCAGAAAUUUCUGUUAUUCUGGGAUUUUUUUUUUUUUUUUUUUUGUCUUUUUAAGGCUGCACCAUGGCAUAUAGAGGUUCCCAGGCUAGGAGUCAAAUCAGAGCUGUAGCUGCUGGCCUACACCAUGGCUACAACAACGCCAGAUCCAAGCCAUGUCUGCGACCUACACCACAGCUCAAGGCAAUGCCAGAUCCUUAACCCACUGAGUGAGGCCAGGGGUCGAACUGUGUCCUCGUGGAUACUAGUCCGAUUCGUUUCCACUGAGCCACGACGGGAACCCCUGGGAUGGUCUUUUGCUGAUAUACACAAGGCUCCCUCCCUUACCUCCUUCAGGUCUUUUCUCCUCUGGCACCCUCUUAGUGAGAUGUCCCCUGACCUCUCUAUUGAAAAUCACCACCAAUAUUCCUUAUCCCCCUUGCUGUCUUAAUUUUCUCUUUUUCACUGUCUAGCAUAUCAUAUGUUUUACUUAUUUAUCAUGUCUUCCCCCAGGAGAGGAUCAGCUGUCUGGGGACGGGAUGGAUGUUUUGUCUGUCCUGUUUUUUACCAUGUCUCUUCUGCCUGUGUGCCCAACACAUAGUUGGUUGGUAUUCAAUGAAUUUUUGUUGGAUGAGCAAACACAUACAUGGUAUGUAGUUUUGCUUUCUUGUUUAUAGAUGAGAGCACCUAAUUUCUAAAUUCCUUGCUUAUGAACAGCUGCCCAAGCUGGCAGAACUUACAUUCCUUUACUGAUUUUGGAAAUGCCUCCAAAUCUGGACAUUUGGCAGCCAGCAUAGGGACAUUUAGUGUCCUGGGCCCAGGCUAUGGAGCCUGGAACUCUAGGCCCCGAGAAUCCACAUGGUUCUUGGAGGUUAGUGUCUUAGUCUGCUCAGGCUGCCAUAACAAAAUAUCACAGAUUGGUUGGCUUAUACGUCACAUACUUAUUUUCCCCUGGUUCUGGAGGCUGCAAGUCCCAGCAGAGUCAGGUUCUUAUGAUAACCAUCUACUGGCUUGCAGAGAGCUGCCUCCUUGCUGUGUCCUCACAUGGCAGACGGAGCUCUGGUGUCUCUUCCUCUUCCAAUGAGCCAGUUCGUUGGAUCAGAGAUGAUGCCCUAAUUUAACUUCAAGGAUCUCUCAAAACCCUGUCUCCAUCAGGCACAUGGGGCUUAGGACCCCCAUGGCCUCACAAUAUGAAUUUGGGGAAGACACCAUUCGAUCCGUCCCAUCAGUGCCACAUCUAGCUUAUGGCGCUAAACUGGCUUUUUGCAGUAACAUUCUAUAAUCUUUUCUCGAACAAAAGUAGAUACAGAAUUCAAAAUGCUAAAUCUUUGUAAGUAAUAUAGACUACGUCUCAUUCAUAUUUUGGCAACCCCCUGAAUCUAGAAAUACAGAUGAUUGAUAGUCUACAGACAGAGUCCUUGUGGCCCGUUAAUUACCCCCUGCUUGGCGUUUUGUGGUGAGGGGUUGACAUGCAGUCUAGGGUAUGUUAGGGUUACAAAACAAUCUUGUUUCUCUUUUUCUUCUCAAAGACCACCUCCCCUUAGACGGUAUGCGGUCAGCAAGGCUGGUGUCAAAGGUUCUGUCUCUCCUGAGCUUCCCUCCCAGUGCGACCUGGUCUGAGUGCUUUCAGUAUCUCACAGCAGAUGUCUCAGAUAUGUGUCACCUGUCACAGGGUGACUAGGCAAGAGGGUGUGGAUGAGUCAUUGCCCGUCGUCCCCACUAUUAGAACAUUUAAAGCACAUGCUCUGCAGACUGUGGGU
rnacentral:lncRNA from 1 species